ensembl:misc_RNA 7SK 7SK RNA
GGAUGUGAGGGUGAUCUGGCUGCAAUAUUGAUCACCCCACUGAUUACCAAGGUUGGUUCAUCAGCUCCGCCUGGCUAGGCAGGUGUCCCCUUCUUCCCUCACUGCUCCGUGUGUGUCCCACCUAACGCUGCACACUCGUCACAGAGGAGGACCAUCCGCAAUAGAAGAGAACCAUUCUUUGGUCAAGGAAAUACAAGUAGCUGUGCUCCCCUGCUGGAACCUCCAAACAAGCUCUCAAAAUGAGAAGAGAAGGUCUUAACAAUGAUAUGCGAGAUCUGCCCCUGUUACUGUCUGGCUGCAUCU